AGAGUUUGAUCCUGGCUCAGAGCGAACGUUAGCGGCAGGCUUAACACAUGCAAGUCGAGCGAGAAAGGGGCUUCGGCUCCGAGUAAAGCGGCGGACGGGUGCGUAACACGUGGAUAAUCUGCCUCGUGGCGGGGGACAACAGUCCGAAAGGACUGCUAAUACCGCAUGUCAGGUCGGAAACUCCGGUUUCUGACGAAAAAGAGGGCGUCCGCAAGGAGCUCUCACCACGAGAUGAGUCCGCGUCCCAUCAGCUAGUUGGCGGUGUAAUGGACCACCAAGGCUUAGACGGGUAGCUGGUCUGAGAGGAUGACCAGCCACACUGGGACUGAGACACGGCCCAGACUCCUACGGGAGGCAGCAGUGGGGAAUAUUGGACAAUGGGCGAAAGCCUGAUCCAGCCAUGCCGCGUGAGUGAUGAAGGCCUCGGUCGUAAG
rnacentral:rRNA from 1 species